rnacentral:rRNA from 1 species
UGGGGAAUUUUGGACAAUGGGCGAAAGCCUGAUCCAGCAAUGCCGCGUGUGUGAAGAAGGCCUUCGGGUUGUAAAGCACUUUUGUCCGGAAAGAAAUCCUUGGCUCUAAUACAGUCGGGGGAUGACGGUACCGGAAGAAUAAGCACCGGCUAACUACGUGCCAGCAGCCGCGGUAAUACGUAGGGUGCAAGCGUUAAUCGGAAUUACUGGGCGUAAAGCGUGCGCAGGCGGUUUGCUAAGACCGAUGUGAAAUCCCCGGGCUCAACCUGGGAACUGCAUUGGUGACUGGCAGGCUAGAGUAUGGCAGAGGGGGGUAGAAUUCCACGUGUAGCAGUGAAAUGCGUAGAGAUGUGGAGGAAUACCGAUGGCGAAGGCAGCCCCCUGGGCCAAUACUGACGCUCAUGCACGAAAGCGUGGGGAGCAAACAGGAUUAGAUACCCUGGUAGUCCACGCCCUAAACGAUGUCAACUAGUUGUCGGGUCUUCAUUGACUUGGUAACGUAGCUAACGCGUGAAGUUGACCGCCUGGGGAGUACGGUCGCAAGAUUAAAACUCAAAUGAAUUGACGGGGUCAUAGCUGUUUCC